rnacentral:other from 1 species
UGUUCUCUGUGUUGUACGCGUACAGGCUGGAUAAUCCUUGAGCCUAUAAUCGAUGUAGCUAGGAACUGAUCCGUCGGCGAUGUUGCGCAAGGCCGCAGCUUAGCGGAAAGCCUGAUUCGCCGCGAAAGGUUCCGCCUUGAACCUUUGGUUCAAGUUUACGGCCGGUCGCGGCAUCGUGGAGAACAC